GGAGUUUGGGCCGUGUCUCAGUCCCAAUGUGGCCGUUCACCCUCUCAGGCCGGCUACCGAUCGUCGCUUUGGUGGGCCGUUACCCCGCCAACUGGCUAAUCGGACGCGGAUCCAUCUCAUACCACCGGAGUUUUUCACACCAGACCAUGCGAUCCUGUGCGCUUAUGCGGUAUUAGCAGUGAUUUCUCCCUGUUAUCCCCCUGUAUGAGGCAGGUUAUCCACGCGUUACUCACCCGUCCGCCACUGAUCCAAAAAACUUCCGCCCGAAGGCUUCCGUCUUCUUUCACCGUCCGACUUGCAUGUGUUAGGCACGCCGCCAGCGUUCAUC
rnacentral:rRNA from 1 species